rnacentral:rRNA from 1 species
CCUCGGGGAGGCAGCAGGUGGGGAAUAUUGUGUACAAUGGGGGCAACCCUGCAUCCAGCAAUGCCGCGGUGGUGGUGAAGAAGGCCUUAGGGUUGUAAAGCACUUUCGCCGAUGACGAUGAUGACGGUAGUCGGACAAGAAGCCCCGGCUAACUCCGUGCCAGCAGCCGCGGUAAUACGGAGGGGGCGAGCGUUGCUCGGAAUUACUGGGCGUAAAGGGCGCGUAGGCGGCGCAAUUAGUCAGGCGUGAAAGCCCCGGGCUCAACCUGGGAACAGCGCUUGAUACUGUUGUGCUAGAGUACGGAGGAGGGUAGUGGAAUUCCCAGUGUAGAGGUGAAAUUCGUAGAUAUUGGGAAGAACACCAGUGGCGAAGGCGGCUACCUGGUCCGGUACUGACGCU